rnacentral:rRNA from 1 species
GAUGAACGCUGGCGGCGUGCCUAAUACAUGCGAGUCGAGCGAACAGACGAGGAGCUUGCUCCUCUGACGUUAGCGGCGGACGGGUGAGUAACACGUGGAUAACCUACCUAUAAGACUGGGAUAACUUCGGGAAACCGGAGCUAAUACCGGAUAAUAUAUUGAACCGCAUGGUUCAAUAGUGAAAGACGGUUUUGCUGUCACUUAUAGAUGGAUCCGCGCCGCAUUAGCUAGUUGGUAAGGUAACGGCUUACCAAGGCGACGAUGCGUAGCCGACCUGAGAGGGUGAUCGGCCACACUGGAACUGAGACACGGUCCAGACUCCUACGGGAGGCAGCAGUAGGGACUCUUCCGCAAUGGGCGAAAGCCUGACGGAGCAACGCCGCGUGGGUGAUGAAGGUCUUCGGAUCGUAAAACUCUGUUAUUAGGGAAGAACAAAUGUGUAAGUAACUAUGCACGUCUUGACGGUACCUAAUCAGAAAGCCACGGCUAACUACGUG